GCGGCAACAAGGCCACGGAGAGCUAAAAUAAAUCCCAGACAAGAUGCUAGGUAUUACUGCUCCUUAGGUGAAGACAAGGCAGGAUUUGAUGUGAGGUAUAUUGAUUCGUUUAAAGGUCGCGGUGUGUUCAGCUGUCGGUCAUUUCAAAAGGGAGAUUUUCUUUUUGAGUACAGAGGACAAAUCAUAACUAAAGAGGAACAAGAAAACCGAAUGAAACUUAACCAUGAUGCACUCAAGGUUUUCAUAUUUGAUUUCAAGUUCAAUGGAAAACAGUUAUGUGUUGAUGCUGCCAGAGAGGACGGCUCACUUGGCAGACUUGUAAAUGACGAUAAUGUGAAUCCAAACAGUAAAAU
ensembl:lncRNA